GACGAACGCUGGCGGUGUGCUUCACACAUGCAAGUCGAACGGGGUAGUAGCAAUACUACUUAGUGGCGGACGGGUGAGUAACACGUGGGAAUCUGCCCUCGAGUGGUGAAUAACUGGCCGAAAGGCUAGCUAAUGUGCCAUACGUCGAAAGAUGAAAGCAGCAAUGCGCUAGAGGAUGAGCCCGCCGUCCGAUUAGCUAGUUGGUAAGGUAAGAGCUUACCAAGGCACCGAUCGGUAGCUGGUCUGAGAGGAUGAUCAGCCAC
rnacentral:rRNA from 1 species